GUGGGGAAUAUUGGGCAAUGGGGGCAACCCUGACCCAGCGACGCCGCGUGAGUGAAGAAGGCCUUCGGGUCGUAAAGCUCUGUCAUCAGGGACGAACGGCCGGUGGAGUGGAAAGCCACCGGAUUGACGGUACCUGAGAAGGAAGCCACGGCUAACUACGUGCCAGCAGCCGCGGUAAUACGUAGGUGGCAAGCGUUGUCCGGAAUUAUUGGGCGUAAAGCGCGCGCAGGUGGGAUCUUAAGUCCAUUUUUAAAGUUCGGAGCUCAACUCCGUGAUGGGAUGGAAACUGGGAUUCUUGAGUACCGGAGAGGAAAGCGGAAUUCCCCGUGUAGCGGUGAAAUGCGUAGAUAUGGGGAGGAACACCAGUGGCGAAGGCGGCUUUCUGGACGGUGUCUGACACUGAGGCGCGAAAGCCAGGGGAGCGAACGGGAUUAGAUACCAGAGUAGUCC
rnacentral:rRNA from 1 species